GUGCUUAACACAUGCAAGUCGAACGGAAAGGCCCUUCGGGGUACUCGAGUGGCGAACGGGUGAGUAACACGUGGGUGAUCUGCCCUGCACUUUGGGAUAAGCCUGGGAAACUGGGUCUAAUACCGAAUAUGACCGCGCACUUCCUGGUGUGUGGUGGAAAGCUUUUGCGGUGUGGGAUGGGCCCGCGGCCUAUCAGCUUGUUGGUGGGGUAAUGGCCUACCAAGGCGACGACGGGUAGCCGGCCUGAGAGGGUGACCGGCCACACUGGGACUGAGAUACGGCCCAGACUCCUACGGGAGGCAGCAGUGGGGAAUAUUGCACAAUGGGCGCAAGCCUGAUGCAGCGACGCCGCGUGAGGGAUGACGGCCUUCGGGUUGUAAACCUCUUUCAAUAGGGACGAAGCGCAAGUGACGGUACCUAUAGAAGAAGGACCGGCCAACUACGUGCCAGCAGCCGCGGUAAUACGUAGGGUCCGAGCGUUGUCCGGAAUUACUGGGCGUAAAGAGCUCGUAGGUGGUUUGUCGCGUUGUUCGUGAAAUC
rnacentral:rRNA from 2 species